rnacentral:rRNA from 1 species
UACAGAGGGUGCGAGCGUUAAUCGGAAUUACUGGGCGUAAAGCGUGCGUAGACGGUUAUUUAAGUCGGGUGUGAAAGCCCCGGGCUCAACCUGGGAAUUGCAUUCGAGACUGAAUAGCUAGGGUACGGUAGAGGGAAGCGGAAUUUCCGGUGUAGCGGUGAAAUGCGCAGAUAUCAGGAGGAACACCGAUGGCGAAGGCAGCUCGCUGGGACGGUACUGACGCUGAGGCGCGAAAGCGUGGGGAGCGAACAGG